GUGUUGUGUGAAAGGAGGGGGGUUAGCACUCCAUUCGAUAAGGCUGGAAGGGGCCCUCAGGUCCCCAGGGCACACAUGUGGUUAAGGCAUUGCCACCUAUUUUGUGGCAUCUAACUGUGGUUUUUC
rnacentral:ncRNA from 1 species